GUGGGCGUAGGAACUUUGAGAGGAGCUGUCCUUAGUACGAGAGGACCGGGAUGGACGCACCGCUGGUGUACCAGUUGUUCUGCCAAGGGCAUAGCUGGGUAGCUAUGUGCGGAAGGGAUAAGUGCUGAAAGCAUCUAAGCAUGAAGCCCCCCUCAAGAUGAGAUUUCCCAUAGCGUAAGCUAGUAAGAUCCCUGAAAGAUGAUCAGGUUGAUAGGUUCGAGGUGGAAGCAUGGUGACAUGUGGAGCUGACGAAUACUAAUAGAUCGAGGACUUAACCAUAUAA
rnacentral:rRNA from 1 species